CUACGUGAGGCUGCAGUGGGGAAUAUUGCACAAUGGGCGCAAGCCUGAUGCAGCCAUGCCGCGUGUGUGAAGAAGGCCUUCAGGUUGUAAAGCACUUUCAGCGGGGAGGAAGGCGUUAAGGUUAAUAACCUUGUCGAUUGACGUUACCCGCAGAAGAAGCACCGGCUAACUCCGUGCCAGCAGCCGCGGUAAUACGGAGGGUGCAAGCGUUAAUCGGAAUUACUGGGCGUAAAGCGCACGCAGGCGGUCUGUCAAGUCGGAUGUGAAAUCCCCGGGCUCAACCUGGGAACUGCAUUCGAAACUGGCAGGCUAGAGUCUUGUAGAGGGGGGUAGAAUUCCAGGUGUAGCGGUGAAAUGCGUAGAGAUCUGGAGGAAUACCGGUGGCGAAGGCGGCCCCCUGGACAAAGACUGACGCUCAGGUGCGAAAGCGUGGGGAGCAAACAGGAUUAGAUACCCUUGUAGUC
rnacentral:rRNA from 1 species